UCUGCCAGGUCCCCUUUUGACCUUCUGUUCUUUAUGGAACCGCCCGACCCAUAGCCGCAGUUUCCGCGGAUCAGGACGGAAGUGAGCUCUGCACAGCGGAACCAGCUUCCCGGAAGUCUUUUGGCCAGCCGGAGAGACGCAUGCGUGCUGGUGGCCAGAAGAAAGCGUGGGCGUGUUCAAAGCUGCGGGCGGUGGUUGUGGCGUUAGAACUGCGGCGGGCAGCUAUGGGGAGGCCCUCCCAGUUCCCUGCUCCAGCUCAGCUGGUCUCCGCCUCCCGAUCUCAGCCCCGACCUCUCCUCUGCGGCAACGUCAGCACAGCGGCUUGCCAAGAUUGCGUCUGAGCGUACCCCAAGAUCCCUCAAGUAGAGGUCCGCCUUGUUCGGUGACACCGUGGAGACCACGGCGCCGGCAGACAAUGCAAAAAGUUGAGGCUUUGGAGGCAAGCGUGUCUUUGUGAACGUUUCAUCUUUUCCUACCAUCUGUGGUUGCUUCAAGUAUUAUUCCAAACGAGCUGGGCAUUCUUUAAAUAAUUGAAAAAUAUAUUUGAAAUAUGUGUAUUUCUGUGGAGAGCUACUAAUCUCGUACACGGUUGCCAUGGAACCCAGUGAGCUCUCAAUAGGCUAAUUGUAACAGACUACAAACAAAUUACGAGCAUCGUAAAACCCGUUGACUCUUGGAGUUUCCAGGUGUCUUUGAAGAGUGUAGAAGCCAUUUGAGCAGCACUUAGGUUUAAAAUUGGGAUUUGGACCUUUAAUGGGAAGACGCCAAACUGGUGUUAACACGCUUGAGGCAUCAUGCCUGUCUUAGUGUAAUUUUUUUGUUGUUUUAAAAUACUUCUGUGCAUUUGUGAAUUUGGACAAACUCAAAGUAAAGGAAAAUCAUCCCCCAAGUGGAUAAUUCCACGUUGAACCAGCCCGA
rnacentral:lncRNA from 1 species